AGAAAACUAUAUUUUCUUUAUGACUAACAAGACACUGCUAUUGAAAACUUCACACUGGAAUACACGUCAAAGUCAACCUGGCCGAUGCUGCUAACUUUUCCUGUUCCGCAACGAAACACCUAUACCUAAUGACCAGUGAGCACACAAACCCAAACAGGAUGAACCCCGGUAAGAGGUUGGCCCUAAACUCCAGCAGGCAUAUUUACCCACAAUGCACGGGGAUAUGAUAACAAUAUGGCGUUUGGAUAACCAAACAAAUUCGAUCAGGUGGAAACUGCACUUUUCAAAACCCAAUCCAGCUGUUCUGUCUACCUUUUUGCCAGCUGACAACAGAUAAUUAGUCUGUACCAACCCCUCCCCAGUGGACAAGGAAGGCAAGGUGCUGGACGGAUUUGUUUGUAGGCAGAUAUUGUAAAUGCAAAGUCAUUCUGGACUACAUGAAAUUCAGGCCUUCCACAAAAAUGGCAAAUGGUUUCUCCUUUGCAGUUUGAUGUAUUUCCUGCAAAACCUUCAUCCUUCUUCUUUUGCUUAAGGAAAUCAGCCAUAAUCAAGGUUGAGCUGUAGAUAGCCAUUCCUUCAGUUAUUCAGCUGGACAGU